GUAAACUACCACAUACCCAAGGAUAUGUGGCUUCCAUUAAAUAGUUUACCAGACUCAGUAUAUAGAAAUAUAUACUACGAUAGUUAAGUCAUGACACCUUUGGUUGACGCAACAGACCAAUGCUCUGUCAUAUACGUUUAAGUUAGGUUGGAGUAAGCAAAGCCUUGUGACGUAUAUCUAAAAAGCUUAAUUAUCAUUGUCGAGUUGAAGACGGAAAAAAUCAUAUGGUAAUAGUAUG
rnacentral:sRNA from 1 species